UGCGUAUGCAUGGAUGUAUGCAUGACACACUCGAUAUGUGUGUGCCUUCGGGUUCCUGCAUGGAUAAUGGAUUCAAAAGGGGAUGGCGGCGGAUGCCUCGUAGCAAGGGACACUGCAACGAAGAACAAGACAGGCCGAAUCGGCAUAUGAAACGUAAAUAUAUAAAGGUAUAAGAGUUGGAAAUGGUAUUAUUUCUCUAAUCCAAGGUUGGAUGCCAACGACCCGACGCUGGUCGACUACGAACCAAAACCAAACUAAAAGAAUUGAAUUCCGGACGGGGAAAAGAAAAAAGAGGUAAAAAACAGCGAAACGAGGACCGAAGGGGAAAAGAAGAGGUUUCUCCCAUUGAUAUCCGAACAAGCGAAGGGUAUUUCAAAUCGACAAAAUAAUCACUCAUAUCAAUAGCAUCCCCCCAUACGUCUUCCAUCAAACUUUCACAAAAUAAGUAAGUCUCCAGAACCGUGCUCAUACCACCAAUUAAUGCCAUUAUGAUUGAUCGUAUCAUCAGGCAAACAAUACGUCGUAGCUAUACAAGGCUACCUAUUAUUACCACAAACCAGAGCUCUCUACCCACUACAUCGCAUGCGAUGUUGUGAUUACCCCAAGCCGACACGGAAAACCAAAAGUCGAAAGGAUUUUAGGAAAGGGCUACACACAAACAAGAAAAACAGAGGGGAAAAUCAAUAAUAAAUCGGUUCCUGAUAAAUCGGCGGCAUCCCUUUCUCCUCAUUCCACGUAAUCUUAUUAUUCUUCUCAUCAAUCGUUGCAUCCUCGUCGGAAAUCGCAAUCACCUUGGACGUAUGCGCCACCUCCUGCCUACUCACUCCACCAACAUCGCGUGGAAUCCACAAUAACGGCGGCUUCGAGCUGACAGAAGGGUGGAAAUAAGCAUUCUGCUCAACCUCAGGAGUAUAUGAGAUAUCGGCAAAAUCCUUGGGGACGAGCUUGCGCAGAGUUUCGUAGUUGGCGUAUCUGUCUGGGCGCAGAAAUUUGCCGACAAUGCCAUGGGGCUUUGUUGGGAGGAGGUCGGUGGGGUUUGAUAUGCCCUUUUCGGCAUCAGUGCCAUCCGCGCCAUUGCUGGAAGGACCAACAGCGGGCUUUUCAGCAGCAUCACUGCUGUCUUGAGGAGAGCCAUCUUUGGCGAGCAGGGCCUGCUCUUUUGCUUCGAGGUUGCGUGGCAGAUACUCGAGCAAUGGGGUGACAGCAGCAUUAAGCGAAACAUGGUAGAUAACUACAAAGACAAGGAAGAUGAUCAUGAGGAUUAAGGGCCCGAGGGCGCUCCUGUCACUGCCAGUGCUGAUGGCAAAGAGGCCCACUAGACAGAGAAUGAGGAGGUAGCAGCCUACGGCUGUUUGUUGGAGGGCACGAGGGUAAAUCAUGCCUUUGGUGUCGAUGUUGCUAUUGGUGACGUACAGCAUGUUAUAACGAUAUGCGACAUAGAAAAGGAACAAUCCAAUAGUGGCGAAGCCAAGGACCAAGGGGGCAAUGGCACCAUAGGUAAUGGCAAUCACGCAAAGGUUGGUCAGAACCGGCAAGACGGUCCCCCAACCCAAACCGGAGAGCGUUGACCACCGUUUGUACAUCUUUCGGGGAGUGUUAUCCAAAAGCGUGCCCAAGAUUUUUGAUACAAUCAAGCCAGCGAUCUGGAGCAGAGCACCCGCACUGAAAGUUAGACCCUGGAGAAUGAAGUACGCAAUAUAGAAGUUAGAUGCUUUGGGGAUGUUCUGAGCCAGCAAUGUUGCUGCACUUUCAGGUUUUUGGAUCACUUUCUGUACAACACUUGAGGCUGCGGAAGAUAAUGUUGUAACAAGGAACACCUGGACAACCUGGAAUCCAAAAUAGAAGUUUUGGGUUCUGAGCUCUGCAGCAGCUGUAGUUGGACAGCCACCAAGUCGUGCCAUUAAUCGAAGUAUGAUGGGCAGCAGAGCCAUCAGAACUGCAAGGAGCACAGCGGGGAGCAGAGAAGUGAUAAGACCCAGAAUGACCGGAGGACAGUCAUUAAUAAAUCCGAGAAAAGGGACUUUUUCUGUUAAGAAGUUGAUGUUUGAGAUGGCACCCACAACAGCAACUGGAAUCGCCCAGAAGAUGAUCAGGGUUACAACAGCACCAAUGGUGGCAGCAUUUCUGAUAAUAAGCUCCCACCACUUAAUCCUCAAAUUUGACCAGAUGAUAUCGUUUGGAUUGAGACCAAUGUGUCGUGGAGCCAUGUGGAGGGGUUGGUUAUGAGCAACCAUUUGAUACGCUGCCUGCGCCUCAUUUUGAGUGUAGAAUUCUACAAAUACCGCGGAUAUUUUCUUAGCAUCACCAGCACGAUGUUUUGCCUGGAGGGCUUCUAUUUCUGGAUUCAAACGCUCGAUCUCAGUCCUCGACCAGUUGAUGGUAUCAACCUUUUUGCCAAUAAGAGGUUUGAGUUUAUGGGUAGGCCUAUUGGAAGGUUUUAUCCAGCGGGCGGCCACUGAGCCUGAUUCUGCCUGAGCCUCAUCACCAGUAAGAUUAUUUGUGUCGUGGUUUUCCUCAUCGGCUGGCUUAGACUUGAGAGACUUGAUGCGUGCACCAUUGGCCAAUUUGAUCAGUUUUGUUUCAGCAGCCUCAAGGUGGAAUGCAGUUUUGUCUCUUUUCUCAACCAACUCCGCCAAUUCCUUGGUGUCAGUUGGGAUCCAAACAUUUUUCACUUUAUCAUCGCCAUAAAUAUGUCGAAUCUUUGCUUCAUUCAAGUAUUCUUGGGGGACGGAGGUGAAGAGAACAGUCUUUGAAGAGAUACGGGAAGCAUAAAGUGGAGAGAAGAAGUAUGCUUGGCGCAGGUUGAUGAAAAAGAGCAUUUCCCGUGUGAUCAUGAAGAAAACAAAACCAACGAAGAUCCAAGUCACAAAGGUAUGGGCAUAGAAUCUAUUCAGGUUGUUUUUCACGUUUCCAAAAGUGAGGAUAUCCAAUUGUUUUAACCCCCCACCGCCAGUGGCAUUGACGGGAAAUAGAACUGGCCAGGUGAUAAAACAGCCCACCAGACAAAUUGUUGUCGCAAUCUUCAGGUAUCGAAGGAGGAGAUAUGCAUCUAGAGAGUGGUGUCGCAAUACGUAUUCAUCAGACAACUUGGCCAUCGACGUUAUCCAACCAAAGAUCCCCGGUGAUGGCGCUGGAGUGCGCUCCUGCUCUCGCAGUGAGCCAAGAUAGGUUCUCGGUGCAUAUUGGCGACGUUGACUUUGACGGAGAAUGAUGAAGAGCAGUACCAUGGCCCCGGAGAUGAUGAGGGUAGGGAUCAAGGUCGAGACCAGCCCGGAGGCCGAGUUGGAGGUACUCUUAGGGUCCUCGUCCUGGGGUGCGAGCACAUGUUAGAUUCAAGUCUUACAUCUCGAAGCAAACAUGCCCGCCACGUUCAAGAAAAGAGCUUGAGGGUUAAAACCAUUGCUUACCAUGGCUGCGGUUUCUGCUACAGCUGCUCCUAAGUUCCGCUGUCAAGCUGCACAAUGCAGGUCGAUGGGGAGCCGCCAACUGCAGCAAUGACAGCAAAGACGGACUCAAGUUAACGAUAUAUAUCGCCAGCCUUCGAGCGCACAAUGGAAUCAGAUAAAAAGGGGAAAAAAGGAAAAAAAGCCCGGAAGAGGGGAACAGUGUUGAAUUUUAAUUUAUGUGCAGUUCAAAAGCAG
rnacentral:sRNA from 1 species